rnacentral:rRNA from 1 species
GUGGGGAAUCUUGCGCAAUGGGCGAAAGCCUGACGCAGCCAUGCCGCGUGAAUGAUGAAGGUCUUAGGAUUGUAAAAUUCUUUCACCGGGGACGAUAAUGACGGUACCCGGAGAAGAAGCUCCGGCUAACUUCGUGCCAGCAGCCGCGGUAAUACGAAGGGGGCUAGCGUUGCUCGGAAUUACUGGGCGUAAAGGGCGCGUAGGCGGAUCGUUAAGUCAGGGGUGAAAUCCCAGAGCUCAACUCUGGAACUGCCCUUGAUACUGGCGAUCUUGAGUGUGAGAGAGGUAUGUGGAACUCCGAGUGUAGAGGUGAAAUUCGUAGAUAUUCGGAAGAACACCAGUGGCGAAGGCGACAUACUGGCUCAUUACUGACGCUGAGGCGCGAAAGCGUGGGGAGCAAACAGGAUUAGAAACCCGAGUAGUCC